rnacentral:rRNA from 1 species
CAAUUCAACGGCCGCGGUAUUCUGACCGUGCAAAGGUAGCAUAAUCAUUUGUCUUUUAAAUGAAGACUUGUAUGAAUGGCAAGACGAAAGCUAAACUGUCUCCCUUAUUUGAUCAAUGAAACUGAUCUCCUUGUACAAAAGCAAGGAUAAUAUGACAAGACGAGAAGACCCUAUGGAGCUUAAAACACGCUAACACUUAUGUAAACAAUUACUAACUAUAACCUAAUAAACAUGACUACGCUGUUUUUGGUUGGGGCGACCACGGAGUAAACCAAACCUCCAAUGAUAGCUGAACUAAGACUAACAACCCAAAGUACCAGAACUUCUGAUAUACUUGACCCAAUUAACUUUGACCAACGAACCAAGUUACCCUAGGGAUAACAGCGCAAUCUUCUCUAAGAGUCCAUAUCAAAGAGAAGGUUUACGACCUCGAUGUUGGAUCAGGAUCCCAAGACAG